rnacentral:rRNA from 1 species
UACGGAGGAUCCAAGCGUUAUCCGGAUUUAUUGGGUUUAAAGGGUGCGUAGGUGGCUUUUUAAGUCAGGGGUGAAAGAUGGUAGCUUAACUAUCGCAGUGCCCUUGAUACUGAAGAGCUUGAAUGAACUAGAGGUAGGCGGAAUGUGACAAGUAGCGGUGAAAUGCAUAGAUAUGUCACAGAACACCAAUUGCGAAGGCAGCUUACUAUGGUUUUAUUGACACUGAGGCACGAAAGCGUGGGGAUCAAACAGG